rnacentral:rRNA from 1 species
UACGGAGGGUGCUAGCGUUGUUCGGAAUGACUGGGCGUAAAGCGCGCGUAGGCGGCUUGGUAAGUUGGAAGUGAAAUCCCGGGGCUUAACCCCGGAAUGGCUUUCAAAACUGCCUUGCUAGAGUAUGGUAGAGGAUAGUGGAAUUCCUAGUGUAGAGGUGAAAUUCGUAGAUAUUAGGAGGAACACCGGAGGCGAAGGCGGCUAUCUGGGCCAUUACUGACGCUAAGGCGCGAAAGCGUGGGGAGCAAAC